rnacentral:rRNA from 1 species
CGUGUAGGCGGUUGGGUAAGUCAGAUGUGAAAGCCUUCUGCUUAACAGAAGAAGUGCAUUUGAAACUGCUCGGCUAGAGUACGGGAGAGGAGAGUGGAAUUCCCGGUGUAGAGGUGAAAUUCGUAGAUAUCAGGAGGAACACCAGUGGCGAAGGCGGCUCUCUGGUCCGAUACUGACGCUGAGACGCGAAAGCGUGGGAGCAAACAGGAUUAGAUACCCUGGUAGUCCACGCCGUAAACGAUGGGCACUAGGUGUAGGAGGUAUUGACCCCUUCUGUGCCGAAGCUAACGCAUUAAGUGCCCCGCCUGGGGAGUACGGCCGCAAGGCUAAA